rnacentral:tRNA from 1 species
CAAAACAUAGCUUAUAUAAAGCCUCUUGCUUACACCAAGAAAAUGUUCUCUUAUCAGAACUGUUUUGAAA